ACACUCCUGCGGGAGGCAGCAGUGGGGAAUUUUGGACAAUGGGCGAAAGCCUGAUCCAGCAAUGCCGCGUGAGUGAAGAAGGCCUUCGGGUUGUAAAGCUCUUUUGUCAGGGAAGAAACGGUGAAAGCUAAUAUCUUUUGCUAAUGACGGUACCUGAAGAAUAAGCACCGGCUAACUACGUGCCAGCAGCCGCGGUAAUACGUAGGGUGCAAGCGUUAAUCGGAAUUACUGGGCGUAAAGCGUGCGCAGGCGGUUUUGUAAGUCUGAUGUGAAAUCCCCGGGCUCAACCUGGGAAUUGCAUUGGAGACUGCAAGGCUAGAAUCUGGCAGAGUGGGGUAGAAUUCCACGUGUAGCAGUGAAAUGCGUAGAUAUGUGGAGGAACACCGAUGGCGAAGGCAGCCCCCUGGGUCAAGAUUGACGCUCAUGCACGAAAGCGUGGGGAGCAAACAGGAUUAGAAACCCCUGUAGUCCCAUGA
rnacentral:rRNA from 1 species